ACGGGCAUGAUCUGGGGCCGGAUCAGUUGGGGUAUCUGGUGGGCGUGGGAUCCGCGGUUGACGUGGGCGCUCAUUAGCUGGGUGGUCUACUUUGGAUAUCUGACGCUACGAACGGCGAUUGACGAUCCGACGGAGCGGGCGAAGAAUAGCGCGGUGCUGUCGAUCUUCGCUUCCGCGUCGGUGGCGGUGACGUGGAAGGCGAUUGAAUGGUGGCGCACGCAGCAUCCGGGGCCGGUGCUUUCGAUCCGGACGGGCGGGGUGCAGAAGAUCGACCCGGCGAUGGAAAACAUGCUGUAUGUAAAUUGGGUGGCCCUGCUAUUGUUGGGAGCAAUCUUCAUGCUUGUACGGCUGCGGCAGGAAGAAGUGCAACGGGAGAUCGAUGCGUUGCGGCGCUAUGCGCACGCGGCGAAUUAGGACGGAAAACCGAUGGACGACGCAACAUAACUUUCAUGUUUUACGGACUGGCGGUGGCGUGGGGGCUGCUGGCGUUAUAUGCUGUGCUGCUGGGGCUGCGAGAGCGGAACCUGACGAAACAGCUCGAUACGCUGAAGCGGAUGGUAGAGGAGAAAAAAUGAACCGCCGGAAACUGAUGCAGAUGGCGAUGGGCGCGUUGCCCGCGACGAUGCUGUCGCAGCGGCAUGUAGCCGCGCAAACACAAGCCGACCGGGCGAUGCGGGGGCUGAGUUCCCCGCUCAUCAAGAUGUGCAGGUGAUCGCGACGGCGCCGGCCGGGCUGCGGUUGGUGGUCGUGAAAGUCGUCACCGAUCAGGACGGGUUGUAUGGGUAUGGCUGCGGGACGUUCACGCAGCGGGCGGAUCUGGUGGUGGCGGCGGUGGAGCGGUAUUUGAAGCCGUUUUUGAUUGGCCAGAAGGCCGACCGGAUCGACGACCUGUGGCAGGCGAUGUACAACUCGAGCUACUGGCGGAACGGGCCGGUGCUGAAUAACGGAUCAGCGGAGUGGAUCAGGCGCUAUGGGACAUUAAGGGGCGGAUGGCGGGGAUGCCCGUGUAUCAGCUUUUGGGCGGCAAGGUGCGCGAGGCGGCCGAUUGCUAUGGGCACGCUUCGGGGCAAGACGCAGCGCAGGUGGUGGAGAGCGCGAAGAAGUAUAUUGCGCAGGGGUUCCGGCACGUGCGGGUGCAAGUGGGUGUGCCGGGGAUGGCGGGGUAUGGAUCGGGGGGGCGGCGGCGCGUGUGAAGUCAUUGCAUACGAAGCCGGUGUUUGAACCGGCGCCUAUAUUCGACGCGCGCUGAACAUGUUUGAGGUUUGCCGGAAAGAGCUUCCGAAGAGAUUGAAUUGCUGCAUGAUGUGCAUGAGCGCAUCACGCCGACACAAGCGCUGCAGAUGUCGAAGGAUUGCGAGAAGUUCAAGCUGUACUUCCUGGAGGAUCCGCUUUCGCCGGAAGACAUUGCCUGGUUCCGGCUGAUCCGGCAGGCUUGCACGACGCCGAUCGCGAUGGGUGAAUUGUUCAACUCGCCGCAUGAAUGGUCGCCGUUGAUUGCGGAGCGGUUGAUCGAUUAUAUUCGUGUGCAUGUGUCGCAGGCGGGCGGGCUGACGCCGUGCCGGAAGAUGGCGAUUAUGGGCGAGCAUUUCGGCGUGCGGACGGCGUGGCAUGGGCCGGGCGAUGUGUCGCCGAUCGGUCACGCGGCCAACGUGGCGCUGGACCUGGUGAGCUACAACUUCGGCGUGCAGGAGUAUUCGCCAUUCAACGCGGCGACGCGCGAGGUGUUUAGCGGCGUGCCGGAGAUGAAAGACGGCUAUCUGUACGCCACGGAGAAACCGGGCUGGGGCAUUGAAGUGGAUUUGAAGGCGGCGG
rnacentral:misc_RNA from 1 species